AAGCAACGCACAUAGCGUCUGAUCAGAAUCCUAUCUAUAUAAAAAAAACUGAUAGUAUUAAGAAAUUUCAUCCGCAUAUAAUUUAGAAACCAACAUUCUUCUUUGCCGACACCUUCUCGUAGACAAAUCAGCUUACCAAAUUUUCAUCCAACACUUUUGUGAAUUAUUGGUUCUGUUUAUAGAAUCUUCUUUGCUAACGGAUCGACUACUGCUUUUACCAUAUCUCUUUAAUAGCCAAAACAGUAACAACUAUUAAAAUUCUACAUCAACAUCAAUAAAAUAGUAAAAUAUAUUAACCAAUAUAUAUAUUAUGUAUAUAUAUGUUUAGAUUUAGUAAUACUCAUAUGAAUCUAACAAAUACUAGCA
rnacentral:lncRNA from 1 species